rnacentral:pre_miRNA from 1 species
AGAAACAUCAUUGAGUGCAGCGUUGAUGAAAGUCCGUAUUCCUUWCGAAUCUUCAUUAGGCAUCGGAAACUUUCGUCAGCUGUGCACCCAAUUAUGUUUCU